AUGAAUAGUGCAGGCGCUAGCAAAGCUGUCACUCGCCGUAUGGAACACCAACGUGGGAAGGUGGAAGCAAAAAUAGAAGCUGCUCUUUCUUCCUCGCCCACUACGGAUCAAGCGUCUCGGUCAUUGGCUUGGCAGCGAUGCAACACAUCGUCUCACCAGCACAACUUCUCCCCAUUGGCACAGGUUCGGCGACGCCCCCCUUUCCAUGUCGGUAUUACCUCGGUCUCUGGUGCAGCGGAGCGUGUUCUGGUUCUUUUUUUCUGCUUGCAAAAAAUAAGCUUUCUAAGCACAAGACUCUUUAGCUUACUGAAAACUAUCUUACCCACAAAACUUCUUGCAGAUAUCUAA
rnacentral:rRNA from 1 species